rnacentral:lncRNA from 1 species
UAAAAAAUUUCAAAUUUGACAUGGAGAUAAAGGAUUGAGGUAAUUCAGAGUUUUGGGAUUAGAAAGUGCAAAUUACCUGGGUUUCUUCCAAAAGCAGUUGUUUUGUUUCCCUGAUAGAACCUGGCUGGAAAGGUAUUUCCCAUCUCUCUGAAAAGUCUGCGACUUAGAAGUAUCUGUAAUAAAUAUCAAGUGUCAAAGAGUCUGCAUUGGAAAGUGCCUUUAGCAGCCUAACAGGUGUCACCUUAGUUUUUCAGAAAGAAGCUUUCGGAGGAAAACCCUCAAUUUUGUGACCAGUGUGUGACAGUAAGAGGAA